UCCAUAGUAGCCCAGACAGUAAGGAACCUGCCUGCAAUGCAGGAGACCCAGGUUUGAUCCCUGGGUUGGGAA
rnacentral:tRNA from 1 species